AUUGACCUCGGAUCAGGUAGGAAUACCCGCUGAACUUAAGCAUA
rnacentral:rRNA from 1 species